CCCAUCCUGAUGAACGAGCCCACAUUUCAAAAUGGGAUGUGUUUUAAUUAGCAUCCUGUGUCACCCCAGCAGCGACGUGAGGGGAGGAGUAGGGUGGGGGUGAGGCCGCUCCGCAGGUCCGCGGGAACCUGGGAGCUUGAGGAUUCUUCCUGGCUGCCUUCAUUUCCAGAGCUGGGAGAGAGAGAUCGAGUUUUUUUCUACCUCCUCGGCGCCGGGAAAACUCUAUUUGAACCUCUGAACAGUUAUGGCUUCAGAUUUUACCCUAGCACUUUCGAUGGGACCACCCAAGCUUACAGGGAGAGAAGGGUGUUUGAGAAGAUGGGACAUGGUGGGUUGGGGUGUGGGGGUGGGGGUCAGAGGGGUAUAUUAGCCUCCUUCCAGUAGGAGCGGUCCCACCAGCCCUGGUUGUGGACCACACAGAGCUGGGUCUGAGGCCCUGCUUCACAAGCCAUAUAUGGUAGGUCCAUGGUCCUUUUGCGUGGCCUCAGGGCCCAUGUUGGUAACAGGGAGGUUCAUAAAGACAGGUGCCAUUGUGCCAGAUGCUCUUCUAAGAGCUACAGGUGCUUACUCAUUUAAUCCUCACAACAACAAUAGGUCCUAGUAGGUAGGAACUAUUAUUACCCCUAUUUUACAGAUGAGGAAAUGAAGGCACAGCGAGAUUGAGUAACUUGCACAAGGUCACAUGUAGGAGAACCGAGCAUCCACCCUACGCAGCCUAGCCCCAAGGUCCAAGGUCCUGUUAUAUUAUAACUUCAUCUCUGUGGGGCUGUUGGAAAGUUUCACGAUGCCCUUUCUAUAAAGGGCUUAGUGCUCCAUAAAUGGUAGCUCAGAGAUCACUGAUCCCAUCUUCAAGGUGGGGAUUAAAGGACCUUGUGAUGCCCAGUGAUAUAUGAGACUUUGGCUUUGGGAUAAUGGCAGGCCAUGUCACUGUCCUGGGCAUUAUGGAUUCGCAAGGUCAGGGAUGUCCCAUUUGCUUUUUUGGCCAGCCCUUUGCACAUUAGCACAACCCCACAGCCAAGACUCACCCUGGAUCCACGAACGCCCUUUCCCACCCCCUGGUGAUUCUCCAGGGCCUCCAUAUUUUACACUUUACCAGACUAAUGCACCCUUUGGAACUGAGUUAACACUCAGGAUAGCAACUGUUAUAAACUCUAAAGAAAAUACAUUUCCUCUCUCUACAGCUGUGGAGCUUACGGGAGGAAACAGGAAUCGUGGCUCACCAAAUCCAGCCCAACUGCUUCCUUGUUCACAUGGGGAAAUUGAGGAAGGCCUAGGGAGGGUAAGGGACUUGCCCAAGGUGCCCAGUUCAUUAGCCACAGAACCCAUGCCCCCAGCUCUGAAACAAGUUCCAGUUAAAGUCUUCGCUGAUAACUUUAAAUCCUCCACUAACCAAGGGAGUCAUCUUUGCAUUUGCACAGAGGAGACGGGAAAAAAUCACAAAGCCCUUAAGGUCCAGAGGAAAUGAGUGUCACCACAUUGGGCUCCCAGGCUGUGCAACAAGCUGUGGACUGAGAUGUCUGGGCAGGGAGCCCGGUCCAGCUCCCUACCCAUCGCAUCAUGGAGUCAGCCAUCUCCUCUGGGGACUGCACCCUCUGGGUGCUGAGAAAUCCAAAUGGCUCUUUUUCAUGCAGCCGCCCCAAGUGUGCAAGAUGGCCUUUCUCUUGAUUUAUUUCCUGCUUACUUUAUGAGAGUCAAAGUGCAUCCUUCAGGACCAAAGUGGCCAAGGGGCCAGCAUGUUAUUUAGAGUGAUCAAAAUGGACCAUUUUCAACUUGGCCCUAAUUCAUCUUCAGAGUUUUGGUUUCCACUUGCUUUUACUUAUCUGUAUUUUCUAGCAUUUCUUUAGCAAAUUUGUAUUACUUUGGCAAUUAGAAAAAAUGACCAGUAAUUUUUAUAAAAGGAUUUGUGUUUGAUUUCCUUUCAGAAAGGCACUUUCAUUUAUUAAAAGAUCACAAUGAGAAGUGAGAUUAAAUUGAUCUUUCUCUCUGGCAAGGAUGUGUGGGGAGGAAUGGGGAGGUGAAUGCUGGGAGCAGAAGCCACAGCUGCAGAGGGCUGCAGUGAAUGAAGGCUGGACCAGGAGACUGGACCAGGAGGC
ensembl:lncRNA